rnacentral:rRNA from 1 species
AUGAGAGCCGCGGCCACAUCCACAGCCUUCUCCCUCCUCUCGCCCUCCCGCCUCCGGACCUCCGCUCCCACCACCACCAGCCUCCCCUACCGCCGUCGUCCCCGCAUCGCCGCCAUGGCCACCGCCGCCGCCUCCUUCCGCCCGGAGGCCGCGCGCUCGCCCCCCGCCGUCGAGCCCCCGGCCCCGCCGCUCUCCAAGUUCAAGGUGGCGCUGUGCCAGCUCUCGGUGACGGCGGACAAGGCUCGCAACAUCGCGCGCGCCCGCGCCGCCAUCGAGUCCGCCGCGGCCGACGGCGCCAAGCUCGUGCUCCUCCCGAUAUGGAACGGUCCAUAUUCAAAUGACAGCUUUCCGGAGUAUGCUGAGGACAUUGAGGCUGGUGGCGAUGCAGCUCCUUCAUUUUCAAUGAUGUCUGAUGUUGCUCGCAGCUUGCAAAUUACUCUUGUUGGUGGAUCCAUAUCAGAACGUUCUGGUAACAGCUUGUACAAUACAUGCUGCGUCUUUGGUUCAGAUGGCAAGCUUAAGGGUAAACAUAGAAAGGUCCAUCUUUUUGAUAUUGAUAUUCCAGGAAAGAUUACAUUCCAGGAAUCAAAAACCCUUACUGCUGGGCAGGAUCUUACUAUUGUUGACACAGAUGUAGGCCGAAUUGGUAUAGGCAUUUGCUAUGACAUUCGUUUCCAGGAAUUGGCAAUGUUGUAUGCUGCAAGAGGUGCUCAUUUGCUAUGCUAUCCUGGUGCUUUCAACAUGACUACUGGACCAUUGCACUGGGAGUUGCUUCAACGCGCAAGGGCUGCUGACAACCAGCUUUUUGUGGCAACCUGUGCUCCAGCUCGAGAUACUAGUUCAAGCUAUGUUGCUUGGGGACAUUCCACUCUUGUUGGACCGUUUGGUGAGGUGAUCGCCACAAUUGAGCAUGAUGAAGCAACUAUAAUAGCUGAGAUUGAUUAUUCAUUGAUUGAGCAGAGGAGGCAAUUUCUUCCUCUGCGACACCAACGACGUGGAGAUCUCUAUCAGUUGGUAGAUGUCCAGGGAUCGGGCUCCAAGUAG